GAAAUGCGAUAAUUAAUGUGAAUUGCAGAAUUCAGUGAAUCAUCGAGUCUUUGAACGCACAUUGCGCCCCCUGGUAUUCCGGGGGGCAUGCCUGUCCGAGCGUCAUUGCUGCCCUCAAGCACGGCUUGUGUGUUGGGCUUCCGUCCCUGGCAACGGGGACGGGCCCAAAAGGCAGUGGCGGCACCAUGUCUGGUCCUCGAGCGUAUGGGGCUUUGUCACCCGCUCCCGUAGGUCCAGCUGGCAGCUAGCCUCGCAACCAAUCUUUUUAACCAGGUUGACCUCGGAUCAGGUAGGGAUACACGCUGAACUUAAGC
rnacentral:misc_RNA from 1 species